rnacentral:rRNA from 1 species
UACAGAGGGUGCGAGCGUUAAUCGGAUUUACUGGGCGUAAAGGGCGCGUAGGUGGUAAGGCAAGUAAGAUGUGAAAGCCCUGGGCUUAACCUGGGAAGUGCAUCUUAAACUGCCUAACUAGAGUAUGGUAGAGGGUAGUGGAAUUUCCGGUGUAGCGGUGAAAUGCGUAGAGAUCGGAAGGAACACCAGUGGCGAAGGCGGUUGCCUGGGGCUUUGCUGACGCUGAUGCGCGAAAGCGUGGGGAGCGAUCCGG